AANCCCCCNGAAACGGGGUCUAAUACCGGAUAACACUCUGUCCCGCAUGGGACGGGGUUAAAAGCUCCGGCGGUGAAGGAUGAGCCCGCGGCCUAUCAGCUUGUUGGUGGGGUAAUGGCCUACCAAGGCGACGACGGGUAGCCGGCCUGAGAGGGCGACCGGCCACACUGGGACUGAGACACGGCCCAGACUCCUACGGGAGGCAGCAGUGGGGAAUAUUGCACAAUGGGCGAAAGCCUGAUGCAGCGACGCCGCGUGAGGGAUGACGGCCUUCGGGUUGUAAACCUCUUUCAGCAGGGAAGAAGCGAAAGUGACGGUACCUGCAGAAGAAGCGCCGGCUAACUACGUGCCAGCAGCCGCGGUAAUACGUAGGGCGCAAGCGUUGUCCGGAAUUAUUGGGCGUAAAGAGCUCGUAGGCGGCUUGUCACGUCGGAUGUGAAAGCCCGGGGCUUANCCCGGGUCUGCA
rnacentral:rRNA from 2 species